rnacentral:lncRNA from 1 species
AGACGCGAUGAUAUUUCAUCAACAGUAUGCUAGGGUUCUCGAAUCUUGUAGGAAGGAAAUGCGAAUGAGGUGGACGUCAGGACAACGUGGAGAAGUCAUGCCUUUCUUUCUGAUAGAUGCCAUAACCGCAAGCCUGACCAUCACCAAUGUUGCAUGUGUGCAGGUACCCUGUCUUACACAGUAGACUUCGAAACACAGAGAGCAGUGGUAACGGGAAAUGUAGAUCCCGUGGACGUGCUGCGCCGCGUUCGCAAGUCUGGGAAGCUGGCAAACCUGAUUCGCAAACCCCCGCCUCCUCCUGCUCCAGAGCCAGAGCCACCUAAGGAGGAGCCCAAGCCAGAAGAAAAGAAGGAAGAACCUAAGAAAGAGGAGCCAAAGAAAGAAGAACCUAAGCCAGAGGAGAAGAAGGAAGAACCCAAACCCGAAGAGAAGAAAGAAGAAUCCAAGAAAGAGGUAAAUCUAUUCUAUUCUCUUUGCUGUGAGGUGCCCACGUUCAUAGUCCAAGUCUCCCACAAAUGCACAAUCUCCGAGUUAAAAACACUGUCAUGAGCUUCACUCCUAUGGACAAUUUAACCAUCGCAUCAUCGUAUGAAUAUGUAAGCUAGCGCGUUAGUCCUAUUAAGCACAAAUUCCUCCUUAAGCUCAACGAUCGGUUUCAGAUUUCUUGUAGUGAUUAAAAUUUGCGGAGGUAGAAAAAGAAAAAGCAGAAGCAAAAAAACAAGAUGUUCAAUUCAUUGCUUGCGAAAGAUUGGCACGGUGUGUGCAUGUGCGCUCCUACCUCCCAAUCCUGUCAAAAUCUUCAAGCCGAGAUGUGAACAAUGUGCAGUCAUCGAAUUGUACCAACUUCCGAGCCUUUGUGGCGAUUCAUUGAAAUGUCCGGACACAACGUUCUCUCAUGAAAAAUGUAAUGCACAACCCAGCAUUCUCUAUCGCUCAAGCUCCAAAUUGGGCUUUGCUUAUAUUUCAUGAGCGACAGUCAUUGCUGUUUCUACCCAUGUAAAGCCACUUCCAUUCAAAAGCUUCAUCAACUUCUGAGACCAGAUAGAAUUGCAGACCAGGGAGUAAAAUUUGAAAGCAACACAUGAGUCGUAAGCAAUAGAAAGAA